UAACGGUCCUAAGGUAGCGAAAUUCCUUGUCGGGUAAGUUCCGACCUGCACGAAUGGCGUAACGAUCUGGAAACUGUCUCCAGCAGAGACUCAGCGAACUUGUAGCACCGGUGAAGAUGCCGGUUACCCGCACUUAGACGGAAAGACCCCGUGCACCUUUACUACACCUUGACAUUGAGGUUGGCGUUGGACUGUGCAGGAUAGGUGGGAGACUAUGAAACUGGCUCGUUAGGGUCGGUGGAGUCACCCUUGAGAUACCACCCUGUUUAACGCUGAUCUCUAACUCGCACCCGUGAUCCGGGUGGAAGACAAUGUCAGGCGGGUAGUUUGACUGGGGCGGUCGCCUCCUAAAGCGUAACGGAGGCGUACGAAGGUUCCCUCAGGCUGUUUGGAAAUCAGCCGCAGAGCGCAAUAGUAUAAGGGAGCUUGACUGCGAGUCAGACACGACGAGCAGGUGCGAAAGCAGGUUAUAGUGAUCCGGUGGUCCCGAAUGGAAGGGCCAUCGCUCAACGGAUAAAAGGUACGCCGGGGAUAACAGGCUGAUCUUGCCCAAGAGUUCAUAUCGACGGCAAGGUUUGGCACCUCGAUGUCGACUCAUCACAUCCUGGGGCUGAAGCAGGUCCCAAGGGUUCGGCUGUUCGCCGAUCAAUAGUGGUACGUGAGUUGGGUUCAGAACGUCGCGAGACAGUUCGGUCCCUAUCUAGUGUGGGCGCAGGAGAUUUGAGAGGACCUGUCCUUAGUACGAGAGGACCGGGAUGGACUGACCUCUGGUGUUCCAGUUGUGCCUCCAGGUGCAAUGCUGGGUAGCUAUGUCGGGAAGUGAGAAGCGCUGAAAGCAUCUAAGCGCGAAACACCCCUCAAGAUGAGAUCUCCCUAUGAGACCCGUGGAAGACCACCACGUUGAUAGGUCGCAUGUGUAAGGCCGGUAACGGCUUAAGCUGAGCGAUACUAAUCGGUCCACUGACUUGACCUUUC
rnacentral:rRNA from 1 species